UACGUAGGGUGCGAGCGUUGCCCGGAUUCAUUGGGCGUAAAGGGCGCGUAGGCGGCCACGCACGUCCGUUGUGAAAUCGCCCGGCUCAACUGGGCGGGGUCAGCGGAUACGGUGUGGCUAGAGCAAGCUAGGGGGCAAUGGAAUUCCCGGUGUAGUGGUGGAAUGCGUAGAUAUCGGGAGGAACACCAGUGGCGAAGGCGGUUGCCUGGAGCUUUGCUGACGCUGAUGCGCGAAAGCGUGGGGAGCGAUCCGG
rnacentral:rRNA from 1 species